UGGGCUAAGCCAGACCAGAAAGGGCCCCGUGCGCAACGUGCUUCACAGUCUCUCAGGGAAAGCGGCUAACGUGGCGCUACUCCGCCUGCCCUGUUCCUUACCCUGGGGGCUGCCGCCAUGUUUCCUGAACACAAAAUGGCGACACGUGAGGAAGACAAACAUAAAGAUGAAGUGCUUAAUUCAAGGUCACACAAUGUCGGGGAUGGACCUCCAGAUUUCCUUACUGGUGAGACGUGGUCUUGUAACACAGUGGUUAAGAAUGUGACUUUGGAGCCAGCCUGCUAGGGGCUGAAUUCUGACUCAGCCAUUUACUAACUGUGUGACCUUAGGUGGAGUCUCACUCUGUAGCCCAAGCUGGAGUGGUGUGAUCUCGACUCACUGCAACCUCCGCCUCCUGGGCUCAAGUGAUUCUCGUGCCUCAGCCUCCUGAGUAGCUGGGACUACAGAGAUGAGAUUUCACCAUAUUACCCAGGCUGUUCUUGAACUCCUAGGCUCAAGUGAUUUGUCUGCCUCGGCCUCCCAAAGUGUUGGGAUUACAGGUCACAGAAUUUUCCACACUCCUUGACGGAGGUGCUUAACCCUUAUCCAUCAGCAUUCUCAGACAGCACCUCCGGUUAGGGACAGUAUCUGACCGUCCGACAUCCCUGCAGCCCCCAUGUGUCACACAGACUCAGCCUCAGGUAGAUGGUUUCCGUAGAUGGUGGCUUUCUUUGGACCCUUGACAUCAACCAGUUACUAUUUGGGGACCAGAUGUGCAGAGGUAAUGAAUACCAGGGAAUCAGGAAACCACUGGAUCAGUUCUUUGAGCCACAGAACAACACUCAUCCCAGCAGCUGGGAAGCUAUCUGCAAAAGUCCAUCUGCAGAAAGGGCUUCCUGGUCUUGCGUGUGGCUGGGCCAUUUCUCUGGAUGCAGGUUUUUCAUUAUACAGUCUUCUCAAAGAAACACCUGCUCUCAACACC
rnacentral:antisense_RNA from 1 species